AAUUCUCAACUCUCCUGUGCUGUUUUGCAGAGGGGAGCUUGGAUUGUGGAGGCUUGCUGGCUGCUUGUUGGCGGUCAGCUCCUCUGAAAUGCAUUAGCGGAACCGUUUGCGAUCUGCCACAAGUGUGAUAAAUUAUCUGCACUGGCGAGGGGAUUGCUCUCUGUGUUGUUCAGCUUCUAAUCGUCUCAAUCUGACGAGACAACUUCCUGAAUGC
rnacentral:misc_RNA from 1 species